UUUCAAAACAUGCGGAUUCAGGUUUAUUAAACUUGGGUCCAUUUUGGAAAGAAAGCCAGGAAACCUUUUGCCCUCCAUUUAUGUCUGAUGUACCUGCUUAUCUGAGCUGUGUCCCAGCGCCACCUUUGUGCAGAGGGCGCAGAUGGCAGACUGGACUUUGUAUUUUAACUGAAUCCAACUGAAACAUGGAUGACCAUCGGAUAAGAGGUUAUGGAUAAACUUAAGAGAUCCACAGUGAUCUGGAGGAAGCAAUUCCUGUAUGUGAAAGACGCAGUGGCAGGGAGCAGAUUUUCAGCCAUUGUGAGGUGCCCAUAUCAUGUGCAUGAUCUUCUGGGCGUAUCUCAAGAGUCUUCAUCAGCCUGCUUUAAUUUCCUCUCUAAUCAUUUAGCAUUGGCUCUGUUGAUGGGUGAUCAGGUAUGUUUAUUUCCUGGCCUCAGUUUGACAUAUUGGAUAUUUGCUCAUUGGCAAACAACAUAACCACUAUGCUGCUUUUCUUCUACACAGAACAAUGCCGGAAGACCAAAUUGGUUAACCACAAAAAGAAUGUUCAUGUGUAUUCUGUAUAUGUAAGUCUAUGCUUUUAACUUCAGCCUGUUUAAAGAAGUUUGAAAAGUUAGCUGCGUUUCCAUUACAAAUGUGCACAAAACGCUGUCGAUAUUCUGCUAAUGUUGAAAAAACACAAUUUCUCAAUUGCAGUGUUUCCCUUAAAUGCCAUUAAAUGCAAUUAAAAUCACACGCGCAAUACCAUCAUCCUCCUACUACUUUCUGUCGUCUUCUUCAUCUUUUUCGGCAGUAGUAACAUCUGGUUGUUGAUCAUGUGACUCGUGUCAUGUGAAAAAAGUGUUUUUAUUGCAGUUUUGCGAAAUACACCAAUUACGAUAAAUCCAAAAAACCACAUCACCCUUGCACAAAAACAUUUAAUCAAAAAACAGGAGUUUUUUCAAAAUUGUCUUGUUUCCAUUAAGUUCAUUUGUUUUCGUAACUUGUGCAAUUUGUUGGUCAGUGGAAACGCAGCUAGUGAUUGCAUGGAAUAAUAAAACAAACAUGAUGAAGAAACUUGGAUAAACAUGCCAACUGGAUCAGUUUUUUCCUGACUGCAACAUUAUAGCUUUAGAAAGCAGACAUGCCUGUUUAAAUUUUUUGUUUCCAAUAGCAACUUCCUCGACCCUUAGCCAAUCGCAUUUCAGCAGCCUGAGUUGCCGUAGCCAGUAAUGGAGUUUACAAUCACUUAUCAUGGGCAUAAAUGUUAUAAAUCUAUUCAAUAAUUUCGAAUAGUUCAACUAAACCAUUCUUUUUUCAAGGUAGAAUGAUCAUCCAAGCAACAACUUCAUUGAAUUUUAAAUACAACAUAAGGGUGGACAAGUUUGAAUUUUGUGUGGAUUUUCAUUAAUCCAAAAAGAGUGAUAAUUGUAUAUAAAUUGUCCAGAUUUGUACCACCUCCACACUCAUAAUUCUGGUUGGAUUUUUGACUUCUCAUCUUGAUAGAAUUGGUAGAGAUUAUUUAAAUUGGUUGGAUUCCUGCCAGACCUGGCUGUUACAGUCCAAAUAAUGUUGGUAAGCGUUCUCAGUCAUCCAGGACAUGACAAUAAAAGGCAGUUUGGCUUCUUGUCUUGUUUCUUAAACACGUUUGAACAUCACACUGAUAUGGUUGUUAAGGUCAAUAGUAGGGUUGUUAAGAUCAUAUGAGUCAUUGGCUUCUCCCUCUAUUUGUUUCAGUGUUAAGACAGUGUUACUUUUAAUGUAAACAUGUCUUCUAACAAUCCCUACAUGAGAGUAGUUUCAGUCACAUCUCGUAAGGUGUAAAUGGUUGCACAACCAGUAGGCUGUAGGUGUUAGAAAGACAAAACCUGAGGCCAUCUCCUCUACUAAUGUUGGUUAUUCAUGCUUAAUAUCUACUUGUCUUCAGGAACCAAAAGAAAAAGUCAAAUUGCCUUCUUUUUAAGCACAUCAUAGUUUCCCAAAUAGCAUUUGAACUUUAGGAAGGUAAUUUUAAAAACUUCAUGCUAGCCUAAUUUAUCAAUUCCAAAAACAUGACAGUGUGUGUUGUAUUGGAAUACCCAACUGUGUCCAAGUUUCAACCAUAUGACCCAAGUUGUCACCCUCAGAUAAAAGAAAACUGGUCAGGAUAUUUAAUAGCAAUUCAGGAACCAACAAUGCUCCAAGCUGCCAUAAAAUAGAAGCUGCUUAGACAACAUUGUUGCUGUCCAUUCUGAAUUAAGUUUACCUAAGAACACUGUACCAACUGUCAAGCAUGGUGGUGGUAGCAUCAUACUGUGGGAUUAUUUCACUGCCAGUUGUAAUGCUACAUUGCAGAAAGCGGACAGUGAAAAAUAACUACCUCCAAAUUCUUUACACUGUUGAAAGUUGGACAGAAUUGGGUGAUUCUGCGGGACAAUUAGUCCAAACGCACAUAGGAACUUUUCUUAAAAAAAUAAGACAGGUUAAGCAAAUGGUUCGGAGCUGAGUGUAAAGCAGCAGGGAUGAGGAUCAGAUCCUCCGCGUCCGAGACCAUGGUUCUUGACCGGAAACGGAUGGCUUGCCCUCUUCAGGUUGGAAGGUAGUGCCAGCCUCAAAUGUAGGAGUUCAAGUAUUUCUGGGUCUUGUUCACGAGUGAGGGGAGAAUGGAGUGGGAGAUCGACAGACAGAUAAGUGUGGCCAUGGCAGUAAUGUGGACACUGCACCGAUCCUUUGUGGUGAAGAGAGAGCUGAGUCAUAGGGCAAAGCUCUUGAUUUACUGAUCAGAGACCAUUCCAACCAUCACCAAUUGGCAUGAACUUUGGGUCAUGACUGAAAAAAACGAGAUCCUGGAAACAAGCUGCUGAAAUGGGCUUCCUCAUUCCAGGGUGGCCAGGCACUCCCUUAGAAUUAGGGUAAGGAGCUCAGCGUCUGGGAGGAGCUCGGAGUAGAGCCGCUGCUCCUUCACUUCGAGAGGAGUCAGUUGAAGUGGCUCCACCCCUUGUACG